GAACAGAACUUUAAAAGAAGGAAAGAAAAAGAUUAGUUAAAAAUUUAUAAAAGUAAUUAAAGCAAAAGACAACCUGCCUAGUACGCAACCGAGGCCCAAUUUGUCUUUACUAGAAGACGGUCCUGUGGAAUUUGGAUCAUUAUAGAUUAUUGGAUUAAAAGUUAAACUGUGUAAUAUAGAAAAUGUUCCAAACCCCCAAAUAAUUUUAAUUGGUAUACACUAGACCCUAGUGUAGGUAGCCCAACCUACACUCCCUCUAAACGCAGAGUUUAGAGUUACUACCCACACCCCCUCCACUAACCCACAAUAAUUACCCACUCCACACAAUAACCGCAGUAACUAACUUCCCCUACCCCAGAUAUAUAUAUACAUAAAAAAAAUAUAAAAAAAAAAAAAUCAAUUUCAAAUCAUUCUCUCUCUCUAAACACCAUCUUCUUCAUUUCUUUAGAGUUUCUCUCUCAUCAAACCCAACGAAUCACAACAAAAUCAUACUCCAAAAUUGCUUCAAAUGUCUGAUAUUCGAGAAGAAAUUAAACAAUCACAACAAAAAGAGUAAGUAAUUUCGUUAGUUUUGUUCAUUUUUUGAGAUUGUAGUGCAAUUUUAUGUGUGAAACCUUAAUUUUGUUCAUUUUGUUGCGAUUGUAGUGCGAUUUUGCAAAAAACCACUACAGAGAAGAACAUGCAAGAAGAAACUGCAAAAUCGGAGCAAAAUGUAUCUAAAGAUAUGAUUUUGGAGAAGAAUACUUCAGAGACGAGUAAUUUGUUGAAAA